AUACUUACCUGGCAGAGGAAACACCAUGAUCAUGAAGGUGGUUUACCCAGGGUGAGGCUCAGCCAUUGCACUCCGGCUUUGCUGACCUCUGCGAAUUCCCCAAAUGUGGGAAUCUCGGCUGCAUAAUUUCUGGUAGUGGGGGAACUGCGUUCGCGCUCUCCCCUG
rnacentral:snRNA from 1 species